UACAGAGGUCUCAAGCGUUGUUCGGAAUCACUGGGCGUAAAGGGUGCGUAGGUGGCUGAGUAAGUCAGAUGUGAAAGCUCCGAGCUCAACUUGGAAACUGCAUUUGAUACUGCACAGCUAGAGUACUUAAGAGGAAUGUAGAAUUCUCAGUGUAGCAGUGAAAUGCGUAGAUAUUGAGAGGAAUACCAAUGGCGUAGGCAACAUUCUGGGAAGUUACUGACACUGAGGCACGAAGGCUAGGGGAGCGAACGGG
rnacentral:rRNA from 1 species